rnacentral:SRP_RNA from 1 species
GGGAAAGCUAGGCUGGGAGGUUAGCGUUCUCUUGUUACUGUCAACACGCUUUAGACAGAGUCGAAGCCCGCGGAAGGGUCAGUUUUGUUUUGUUGGUCCUGAUUGUCUUUGCUGACGGCUUGUCCUUUGGGAUGGGCUUACUGGGAAUCUGGUCAGAUUCGGAAGAAAGCAGCCAUAACCUUUGAGUUUCAUGUUCAGAGGGUUGCAAGUCUGAGAAGCUUUUGGGAUUAAGCCAACGAGGUUUAGUUGAUUCGACUAUCGGGCGUGCCCU